rnacentral:rRNA from 1 species
AGUGAACGCUGGCGGUAGGCCUAACACAUGCAAGUCGAACGGCAGCACAGUAAGAGCUUGCUCUUACGGGUGGCGAGUGGCGGACGGGUGAGGAAUACAUCGGAAUCUACCUUUUCGUGGGGGAUAACGUAGGGAAACUUGCGCUAAUACCGCAUACGACCUACGGGUGAAAGCAGGGGAUCUUCGGACCUUGCGCGAUUGAAUGAGCCGAUGUCGGAUUAGCUAGUUGGCGGGGUAAAGGCCCACCAAGGCGACGAUCCGUAGCUGGUCUGAGAGGAUGAUCAGCCACACUGGAACUGAGACACGGUCCAGACUCCUACGGGAGGCAGCAGUGGGGAAUAUUGGACAAUGGGCGCAAGCCUGAUCCAGCCAUACCGCGUGGGUGAAGAAGGCCUUCGGGUUGUAAAGCCCUUCUGUUGGGAAAGAAAAGCAGCAGGUUAAUACCCCGCUGUUCUGACGGUACCCAAAGAAUAAGCACCGGCUAACUUCGUG